GGGGUGUAGGCGAUAUAAGGUCAGCCUUCCAGGAGAUGAACACGGAAAAUGGGUAUUAGGUAUAUUGAGGAAUACACCAAAUACACCAGGGGCUGUGAAUGAUGCAAACUUUUCAGCCAGGUCACACCAUACACUGAUGCCCAGAAGGUACAUGUCCCCAGAAGAGCCUCAGUCCAUCAUGGUGUACAGUCGCUGUUCAGUGUACACCAGAAGCAUGGCAAAUCGUGCUUCACAGUAUGAGGUCCCCUAAUGAUAAUAUGGAAGAAAAUAAAAGCGACAAAACCCUUUCCAUAUUCAUAAGAAAUCUCUGUCAAAAACAGUCGAUUGCACGAUUCUGACUUAAUCAUGAGCAUGUGUUAAAGAAUCGCUAUCAAAUAGUGAUGAUACCAGGUGUUUGCGAAAGGUUAGAUUAUCCUGCCCCACCGGUGUCAGAAGAAAUUCCUGGUGUUGAGAUCCAUUUUCAUUGUGUGCAAAUUGUGUUUAUUCUCAUGCAGAGCUACAAAUCAUAACAUAUUAGUGUGUCUUGUGAGGUACAGUGCUUCCUACAACAAGAGAACUAUUUUGAAAUAGUCAACCAGUGCACUAACAAGUUGCCACUAAGCAUUCAGCCAGUGCUUGUGCUAUUUUCUUCAGUCUUUCUCCCCGGCCUUCGCCCUUGCCCCAGACUACCUCAUCCAGCAUCAGCCACCCUGUAUUACAGAAACUUAUAAAACGAAACAGCAAAGGCUGAUUGUUGUCGGAGACCAUAAAACAAGAUUUCAAUGAAAAAAGUUUAUUUUAGUGAGCAUAGAGAAAAACAGUAAAUACAUCAGAUGGAAAUCGUUCACGAAUCACCUUGACAACACAAGAUUGAAUAAUUCUGAUUCUUCAACUAUUUCUGGAAAUACAAAUCUGAACCUCUUGUUUAUGAGGUGAAGAUAGAUUCUGAAAUAAAAGAGUGUCUUUUUUUAGUCGCUCAGUACAAAACAUUACAAAAAUCAUACAAUUUAAAUAUAUAUUUUUGUCAUUCAAUCUGGAGGGAAGCCUAUAGAAGAAGCAACUUAUACUGAUGAUAUAUGCAUAUUUUUUUAUACCAUGUUAAUAUUUUAAUAAAACAGUUUAUAGUUUUCUAUCAUAGUGACUUGAUGUGUUUAUUACUAUUGGUGGGGCGGUCGGGUAGCCUAGUGGUUAAAGCGUUCGCUCGUCACGCCGAA